rnacentral:rRNA from 1 species
GAUGAACGCUGGCGGUAUGCUUAACACAUGCAAGUCGAACGGACUCUUCGGGGUUAGUGGCGGACGGGUGAGUAACGCGUGGGAAUCUGGCCUUGGGUUCGGGACAACCACUGGAAACGGUUGCUAAUACCGGAUGUGCCGAGAGGUAAAAGAGAAUUUGCCUGCAGAUGAGCUCGCGUCUGAGUAGCUAGUUGGUGAGGUAAAGGCUCACCAAGGCAGCGAUCAGUAGCUGGUCUGAGAGGAUGACCAGCCACACUGGGACUGAGACACGGCCCAGACGCCUACGGGAGGAAGCAGUGGAGAAUUAUCCGCAAUGGGCGAGAGCGUGACGGAGCAAUACCGCGUGAGGGAAGAAGGUUCUUGGGGUGUAAAACUCUUUUCUUAGGGAAGAACAUAAUGACGGUACCUAAGGAAUAAGCAUCGGCUAACUCCGUG